UAAUAUGUAUAGAAAAAGGAAGCCCUGCUAGAACAGGACUUCCCAUGUAGAGUCGUUUAAGACGGUGACAGAUUUUAACGAUAUUUAAUA
rnacentral:sRNA from 1 species